GGGUUAGUCGGGACCUAAGCUGAGGCCGAAAGGCGUAGGUGAUGGACAACAGGUUGAUAUUCCUGUACUACCGAUAACCGUUUGAGAGAAGGGAUGACACAGUAGGAUAAGCUAAGCACACUGUUGGGUAUGUGUGCCCAAGCAUUGAGGCAGUCAAAGUAGGCAAAUCCGCUUUGAUAAUGCUGGGAUGUGAUGGGGAGCGAAAUUUAGUAGCGAAGUAGCUGAUUUCACACUGUCAAGAAAAGUCUCUAUCGAGGUUAAAGGUACCCGUACCGCAAACCGACACAGGUG
rnacentral:rRNA from 1 species